GCUGUCCUGAAACUGGUGCUCUCCACAUGUGGGUCAAUGGGUCUGGCUGUUCACCAGAAGGUUGGUGGUUCGAGCCCACCCAGGGAUAGCU